GGUUGGUCUGAGUACACUGGCAUUUACAACUAAUUGAUGACAACCAGUCAUAGAUUUCUUUGUUCCUUCUCCACUCCCACUGCUUCACUUGACCAGUCUUUA
rnacentral:Y_RNA from 1 species